rnacentral:misc_RNA from 1 species
CUCUCCACACUCUUAAAGUCUUCAUUUUGGUUCAAUUCAAUCAAAUGUUUGUCAUCCUCAUACUCUUUCAAAUGGAGCUGCUUCCCUAGUUCUUCAUGUACUUCCUCCACCUCCACGGUAACAGGUGCAACCUCCUCAUCCUCUCGCCCGCCCUCUUUCAAAUAAAGCUGCUUCUUCUCCAGCUUUUUGGGUAGUUCUAAGGUCAGAUCAGAAUCUAUAUCCGCAUUGGAAGAGGGUAGAGACAAUUGAAACUCUAAUUUAGGGUUUGUAUCAG